rnacentral:rRNA from 1 species
UUAACGCUGAGGUGUGAUGACGAGGCACUACGGUGCUGAAGUAACAAAUGCCCUGCUUCCAGGAAAAGCCUCUAAGCAUCAGGUAACACGAAAUCGUACCCCAAACCGACACAGGUGGUCAGGUAGAGAAUACCAAGGCGCUUGAGAGAACUCGGGUGAAGGAACUAGGCAAAAUGGUGCCGUAACUUCGGGAGAAGGCACGCUGAUAUGUAGGUGAAGUGAUUUACUCAUGGAGCUGAAAUCAGUCGAAGAUACCAGCUGGCUGCAACUGUUUAUUAAAAACACAGCACUGUGCAAACACGAAAGUGGACGUAUACGGUGUGACGCCUGCCCGGUGCCGGAAGGUUAAUUGAUGGGGUUAUCCGUAAGGAGAAGCUCUUGAUCGAAGCCCCGGUAAACGGCGGCCGUAACUAUAACGGUCCUAAGGUAGCGAAAUUCCUUGUCGGGUAAGUUCCGACCUGCACGAAUGGCGUAAUGAUGGCCAGGCUGUCUCCACCCGAGACUCAGUGAAAUUGAACUCGCUGUGAAGAUGCAGUGUACCCGCGGCAAGACGGAAAGACCCCGUGAACCUUUACUAUAGCUUGACACUGAACACUGGUCCUUGAUGUGUAGGAUAGGUGGGAGGCUUUGAAGUGUGGACGCCAGUCUGCAUGGAGCCAACCUUGAAAUACCACCCUUUAAUGGCUGGUGUUCUAACGUGGGCCCGUAAUCCGGGUUGCGGACAGUGUCUGGUGGGUAGUUUGACUGGGGCGGUCUCCUCCUAAAGAGUAACGGAGGAGCACGAAGGUUAGCUAAUCCUGGUCGGACAUCAGGAGGUUAGUGCAAAGGCAUAAGCUAGCUUGACUGCGAGAGUGACGGCUCGAGCAGGUGCGAAAGCAGGUCUUAGUGAUCCGGUGGUUCUGAAUGGAAGGGCCAUCGCUCAACGGAUAAAAGGUACUCCGGGGAUAACAGGCUGAUACCGCCCAAGAGUUCAUAUCGACGGCGGUGUUUGGCACCUCGAUGUCGGCUCAUCACAUCCUGGGGCUGAAGUAGGUCCCAAGGGUAUGGCUGUUCGCCAUUUAAAGUGGUACGCGAGCUGGGUUUAGAACGUCGUGAGACAGUUCGGUCCCUAUCUGCCGUGGGCGCUGGAGAAUUGAGGGGGGCUGCUCCUAGUACGAGAGGACCGGAGUGGACGCAUCACUGGUGUUCGGGUUGUCAUGCCAAUGGCAUUGCCCGGUAGCUAAAUGCGGAAGAGAUAAGUGCUGAAAGCAUCUAAGCACGAAACUUGCCCCGAGAUGAGUUCUCCCUGAGACUGUAAGUCUCCUGAAGGAACGUUGAAGACGACGACGUUGAUAGGUCGGGUGUGUAAGUGUAGCGAUACAUUGAGCUAACCGAUACUAAUGAACCGUGAGGCUUAACCUUACAACGCCGAAG